rnacentral:rRNA from 1 species
GAUGAACGCUGGCGGCGUGCCUAAUACAUGCAAGUCGAACGAACGGACGAGAAUUUUGCCUCUCGGAUGUUAGCCGCGGACGGGUGAGUCACAUGUGGAUAACCUACCUAUAAGGCUGAGAUAACUUCGAGAAACCGGAGCUAAGCCCAGAUAAUCUUCUGAACCUUGUGGUUUAAAAAAAAAAUACUAUCUUGCUGUUACCUAUAGGUGCAUCGGGGUUGCAUUAGGUAGUUGGUAAGACAACGGAUUACCAAGGCAAGGAUUCAUAGCCGACCUGAGAGGUGGGUCGGCAACACUGGACCGGGACCACGGUCCGGACCCCUAGGGGAGGCAGCAGUGGGGAAUCUUCCGCAAUGCGCGAAAGCUUGACGGAGCAAGGCCGCGUGAGUGAUGAAGGUCUUGGGAUCGUAAGACUCUGUUAUUAGGAAAGAACAUAUGUGUAAGUAACUGUUCACAUCUUGACGGUACCUUAUCAGAAAGGAACGGCUAACUACGUG